rnacentral:rRNA from 1 species
UACGGGGGGAGCAAGCGUUGUUCGGAUUUACUGGGCGUAAAGGGCGCGUAGGCGGUCAGCACAAGUCAGUUGUGAAAUCUCCGGGCUUAACUCGGAAAGGUCAACUGAUACUGUGCGACUAGAGUGCAGAAGGGGCAACUGGAAUUCCCGGUGUAGCGGUGAAAUGCGCAGAUAUCGGGAAGAACACCCGUGGCGAAGGCGGUUCUCUGGGACGGUACUGACGCUGAGACGCGAAAGCGUGGGGAGCGAACAGG